UGGGGAGAUUCCCGAGCGGUCAAAGGGGGCAGACUGUAAAUCUGUUGGCUCCGCCUUCCAAGGUUCGAAUCCUUGUCUCCCCAUUUU
rnacentral:tRNA from 1 species